UACGAAGGGGGCUAGCGUUGAUCGGAAUCACUGGGCGUAAAGCGCACGUAGGCGGCUUUCUAAGUCAGGGGUGAAAUCCUGGAGCUCAACUCCAGAACUGCCUUUGAUACUGGGAAGCUCGAGUCCGGAAGAGGUGAGUGGAACUCCGAGUGUAGAGGUGAAAUUCGUAGAUAUUCGGAAGAACACCAGUGGCGAAGGCGGCUCACUGGUCCGGUACUGACGCUGAGGUGCGAAAGCGUGGGGAGCGAACCGG
rnacentral:rRNA from 1 species